CCAAACUGUUGCCUCGGCGGGGUCACGCCCCGGGUGCGUAAAAGCCCCGGAACCAGGCGCCCGCCGGAGGAACCAACCAAACUCUUUCUGUAGUCCCCUCGCGGACGUAUUUCUUACAGCUCUGAGCAAAAAUUCAAAAUGAAUCAAAACUUUCAACAACGGAUCUCUUGGUUCUGGCAUCGAUGAAGAACGCAGCGAAAUGCGAUAAGUAAUGUGAAUUGCAGAAUUCAGUGAAUCAUCGAAUCUUUGAACGCACAUUGCGCCCGCCAGUAUUCUGGCGGGCAUGCCUGUCCGAGCGUCAUUUCAACCCUCGAACCCCUCCGGGGGAUCGGCGUUGGGGAUCGGGACCCCUCACCGGGUGCCGGCCCUGAAAUACAGUGGCGGUCUCGCCGCAGCCUCUCCUGCGCAGUAGUUUGCACAACUCGCACCGGGAGCGCGGCGCGUCCACGUCCGUAAAACACCCAACUUCUGAAAUGUUGACCUCGGAUCAGGUAGGAAUACCCGCUGAACUUAAGCAUAUCAAUAGCCGGAGGAA
rnacentral:rRNA from 1 species